GUGAGAUUCUUCAAUACUGUGCAGAAGGGGCUGUGCAGGAACUAGAUAGGUCCAUUGCUGGAUAUGCUUGUCGACGGCAUUGGUCGUGUCUAGUCUCUCCACGGCCCGCUCUGUGUUUGAUUGCCACGCACUA
rnacentral:pre_miRNA from 1 species